rnacentral:rRNA from 1 species
GAUGAACGCUGGCGGCGUGCCUAAUACAUGCAAGUCGAGCGAACAGAUGAGAAGCUUGCUUCUCUGAUGUUAGCGGCGGACGGGUGAGUAACACGUGGGUAACCUACCUAUAAGACUGGGAUAACUCCGGGAAACCGGGGCUAAUACCGGAUAAUAUUUUGAACCGCAUGGUUCAAUAGUGAAAGACGGUUUCGGCUGUCACUUAUAGAUGGACCCGCGCCGUAUUAGCUAGUUGGUAAGGUAACGGCUUACCAAGGCGACGAUACGUAGCCGAAGGGAGUGGGUGAUCGGACAGAAUGGAAGUGAGACACGGUCAACACUCCUACGGGGGGCAGGAGUAGGGAAUCUUCCGCAAUGGGCUAAAGCCUCACGGAGCACAGCAGCGUGAGUGAUGAAGGUAUACGGAUCGUAAAACUCUGUAGUUAGGGAGGAAGAAAUUUGUUAGUAACUAAACAAGUCUUGGCGGUACCUAACCAGAAAGCCACGGCUAACUGCGUGCCAGCAGCCGCCGUAA